CUGCAGAUGAGAAAGCAUAGCAAGGAGAAUAAAAACCUAUGCGGUCAAAGUAGCUGAACAGCCCUCAGGAAGCUGCCUCCAGGGCCAGGGCUGUGAGGAGACUCUUGGAGUUUUGGCUACCUGGGCCUGGGGAGACUGUCUCAGCAGUAAGAUAUGUGCCUGGUUCGGCAUGGGCCUAGCUUAAUUUUAGUUAUAUAUCUUCAGGCAAAUCCUGAGUGAAUGGUAGAAUUGGAAGGGGGUCCCAUCAGCAGCAGGUUCUCACAAAUGGGAGUCCCAAGCCCUUUUUGCUUACUUGAUAGUACUUUUGGAUUUCCAUAAACUUCUAGUAUCACACAUACACACACCCACACACGUGCAAAUGCACACACACCAAAUUUUCCUGAACCUCACCCCUCUCUAACAUCAAUACAAAACUUGAGAAUGUCCCUCAAAUGCAUUGUCCUUAAAAUAAAAGCAGAGUCAUCAAAAAUUUAACGAGAUGGCUGGGAGGAAAAAUUGGGCCACAACAUAGUAAUUCCAUUUGGAAAAACUCAAAGAUUUUUCAAUUUAACUCAGAUGUUUAUGGAGCAACCAAGUAGGUCUUGGUAUAGUAAAGCAGACAAGGUUUCUACCCUCAAGGAAUCACAGCCAAAUUGACAACCCCCAAGCCAAUGUUUCUUUCAAUGUAGCAGUUAGAUCAUCAGCGUGAGAUUCAUCUUGGAAGUUUACUAAAAUACAGAUUUCUUCGUUGCAUCCUGACUUCCUGAAUUAGAAUUUCUGGGUUAGCAGGGCCCAGAGAUCUGUGUUUUAAAAAGCCACCCCAGUGAUUCUUAUGCACCAGAAACUUUGAGGUCCUUUGCCUUACACUCAUGACUAGCCAUAUUUUUAUUUCCAGAUCUCAACACAAAUAACGUUCUAGUAGCCCACCUGCUGAUGAUGAGGAACAGAUUAAGGGGCAAGUUUUGUCAUCACUACACAUUUCCUGGGCCUCUAACAUGCAGGAAAUUACAGCUGACUUCGCCUGAAAUUGCAGAGCAAAAAUACAUUCAAUCAAAAGCUCCUCUCAGCUCCCAUACCACAGAAGCAACCCAUAGAGGAAAAGACAGCAGUGUGACUUGAGGAGAGGACCAGAAAUGGUCCCAGAUUCACAUGAAGACGUCUCUGUUGCAGAUUGAACCCAUCUCUUCUACCUCCCACAGCACUUCGUUUUGAAACAAGUAUUUGGACUAUGUGUGUUGAACUGAAUGAGGAUGCUUGCUCAGCGAUGUUGAGUGACCUGUUCAUGCUACAAGAAUUUUAAUCUAAGAUAUCUUAACUCCAAGUCCAAGGUUGUUAGAAGUUUCCAAUUUUAGAAGAACUUUUCAUGAGGCCCAUAUGCAAGGACGUAAUAUCUCAACUGGAGCAGAAGGAUUUCAAGCCCUGUCACUGGGAAGAGCUGUGAUGUGUUACAGGUCAUCACCCAAGCCUUGGGUCACAGGCCUGACCCUGCUGGUUACUAACUAGGUGGCCUCAAGCAUGUUACCAUUGUCCACACAACUCCCCAAGCUAGACAUCCAGGCAUUGUCCUUGAUACCUUUUUCUCUGUCACCCUCUACAUGCACAUAAGAAGACUACAUUUCCCAGCAUCCCUUGCAAUUGAGCUCACGUGAUUAGCUCUAGCCAAGAGGUGGCAAGCAGAAGAUACUUGAGUCUCUUCCUGGUGAAAUAGAAUGAAAGCACUGAACACAGAUGUGAAGUCUCUGUGCUUUUACUUCCGUCACUGUGGUGAAUUGGCAUCCAUAUGUUGAAAUGACAUCACAAGACAGAAACAAUUAGGGUCACUGAGUCACUGCAAGAAAGAGAGCUGCCCUGGAGAGUCAUCUAGAAUCACAGCAAUCUUCUGUAUAUUCAAGAAACAAAGCUUUGUUUGUACUGAGAUUGGAGGUUGUUAUUGCAGCAGAGUACAGCCUAUCCUAACCAAUACAGAAAAUAUAGUAGGCAAAAUAAGGGCACCCAAAAAAAUGCUCAUUUCCUAAUCUCCAGGACCUGUAAACAAGUUAUAUCAUAUGGCAAAGACAAAUCAAAGUUGCAGAUGGAAUUAAGGUUGCUAAUCAGCUAAUCUGGAGAUGGAGAGAUUGUUCUAGAUUAUCUGAGUAAACCCUAUGUAAUUACAAAGGAUCUUAAAAGCAGAAGAGAGAAUCAAAAGAAUCAGAAAGAUGGCAGUAUGAGUGGGACUUGGCCCAAUGUUGCUGGCUUUGAAGAUGAAGGAAUGAGGCCAUGAGUCAUCGAGUAUGGUAGCCUCUAUAAGCAGGAAAAGGCAAGGAAAUGGUUCUACCCUAGAAUGUUCAGAAAGGAAUGCACCCUACCAACACCAGUCUUUGCCUGGGUAAGGUAUAUGUUCCACUCCUAAGCUAUAGAACUAUAAAUAAUAAAUCUGUGUUGUUUUAAGCCACUAAGUUUGGGAUAAUUUGUUGCAGCACUAAUAGAAGACUAAUACAGAGGCAUUUGUAGACCUCAGGCUCAUUCAAGAAUUCUCAUCUGUUUCCCCAUAAUGCUCUAAAUAUAUUUUAUUAAUGUACUUCCCAUAUCAUAUCUUGAUUAUCUCUGUGUGUAUGUGUCAUUUUCUUCCCUAGAGUGAAAGUUUUCUUGAGGGCAAGAAUUAAGUCUUCUUC
rnacentral:lncRNA from 10 species